GAUGAAGAACGUAGCGAAAUGCGAUAAGUAAUGUGAAUUGCAGAAUUCAGUGAAUCAUCGAAUCUUUGAACGCACAUUGCGCCCGCCAGUAUUCUGGCGGGCAUGCCUGUUCGAGCGUCAUUACAACCCUCAGGCCCCCGGGCCUGGCGUUGGGGAUCGGCGGAAGCCCCCUGUGGGCACACGCCGUCCCUCAAAUACAGUGGCGGUCCCGCCGCAGCUUCCAUUGCGUAGUAGCUAACACCUCGCAACUGGAGAGCGGCGCGGCCAUGCCGUAAAACACCCAACUUCUGAAUGUUGACCUCGAAUCAGGUAGGAAUACCCGCUGAACUUAAGCAUAUCAAUAAGCGGAGGA
rnacentral:misc_RNA from 1 species